GGACUACAAGGGUAUCUAAUCCUGUUUGAUCCCCACGCUUUCGUGCCUCAGUGUCAAUCGUAGUGUAGCGAGCUGCCUUCGCAAUGGGUGUUCUAUGUCAUAUCUAAGCAUUUCACCGCUACAUGACAUAUUCCGCUCACCUCCACUAAAUUCAAGGCAGAUAGUAUCAACGGCAGUUUCUAAGUUAAGCUUAGAGAUUUCACCACUGACUUACCUGUCCACCUACGCACCCUUUAAACCCAGUGAAUCCGGAUAACGCUUGCACCCUCCGUAUUACCGCGGCUGCUGGCAC
rnacentral:rRNA from 1 species